GACGAGCCACACAAACGUUUAUUCGGAAUUACUGGGCUUAAAGGGUGCGUAGGCGGGUCUUUUAAGUCAGGGGGUGAAAUCCUGGAGCUCAACUCCAGAACUGCCUUUGAUACUGAAGAUCUUGAGUUCGGGAGAGGUGAGUGGAACUGCGAGUGUAGAGGUGAAAAUUCGUAGAUAUUCGCAAGAACACCAGUGGCGAAGGCGCUCACUGGCCCGAUACUGACGCUGAGGUGCGAAAGCCGUGGGGGAGCAAACAGGG
rnacentral:rRNA from 1 species